GACGAACCGUGCAAACGUUGUUCGGAAUCACUGGGCUUAAAGGGCGCGUAGGCGGCUUGCCAAGUCAGGGGUGAAAUCUUUCGGCUCAACCGGAAAAGUGCCUUUGAUACUGGCAGGCUGGAGGGAGGUAGGGGCAUGUGGAACUUCCGGUGGAGCGGUGAAAUGCGUUGAUAUCGGAAGGAACGCCGGUGGCGAAAGCGACGUGCUGGACCUCUUCUGACGCUGAGGCGCGAAAGCUAGGGGAGCAAACGGG
rnacentral:rRNA from 1 species